rnacentral:rRNA from 1 species
CCUACGGGAGGCAGCAGUGAGGAAUAUUGGUCAAUGGACGAGAGUCUGAACCAGCCAAGUAGCGUGAAGGAUGACUGCCCUAUGGGUUGUAAACUUCUUUUAUAUGGGAAUAAAACGUUCCACGUGUGGGAUUUUGUAUGUACCAUAUGAAUAAGGAUCGGCUAACUCCGUGCCAGCAGCCGCGGUAAUACGGAGGAUCCGAGCGUUAGCCGGAUUUAUUGGGUUUAAAGGGAGCGUAGGUGGAUUGUUAAGUCAGUUGUGAAAGUUUGCGGCUCAACCGUAAAAUUGCAGUUGAAACUGGCAGUCUUGAGUACAGUAGAGGUGGGCGGAAUUCGUGGUGUAGCGGUGAAAUGCUUAGAUAUCACGAAGAACUCCGAUUGCGAAGGCAGUUCACUGGACUGCAACUGACACUGAGGCUCGAAAGUGUGGGUAUCAAACAGGAUUAGAUACCCUUGUAGUC